AGCGAACGCUGGCGGCAGGCCUAACACAUGCAAGUCGAACGAACCUUUCGGGGUUAGUGGCGGACGGGUGAGUAACACGUGGGAACGUGCCUUUAGGUUCGGAAUAACUCAGGGAAACUUGUGCUAAUACCGAAUGUGCCCUUCGGGGGAAAGAUUAAUCGCCUUUAGAGCGGCCCGCGUCUGAUUAGCUAGUUGGUUGAGGUAAUGGCUCACCAAGGCGACGAUCAGUAGCUGGUCUGAGAGGAUGAUCAGCCACAUUGGGACUGAGACACGGCCCAAACUCCUACGGGAGGCAGCAGUGGGGAAUCUUGCGCAAUGGGCGAAAGCCUGACGCAGCCAUGCCGCGUGAAUGAUGAAGGUCUUAGGAUUGUAAAAUUCUUUCAGCGGGGACGAUAAUGACGGUACCCGGAGAAGAAGCCCCGGCUAACUACGUG
rnacentral:rRNA from 1 species